ensembl:lncRNA
AAGCUGGUUGCAAUAAUUUAUGGCAAGCCAUUAACAAAACACGGAGCGCUCUGGAGUGGAUGAACAAAGUAUAAAUAGAUCUCUCAUAGCACAACAACCGAAUGCUUCAUCAGAAAUGUUUGGCAUUACAUCACUGCCUGUGUGAGAGAGACUGGAGUUACCCGACGCUCUCUGAGCCAGCUAUUAUGCAAAGUGCCUCUGUCUAUGGUGAGGAGAGACAGAUUUCACAAGGCCUGCUACUGUGUUCGAGGCUCAUGGGACUGUUUUGUGGCAGAAAUCGGUGUAACGUUCCUUGUGUGCAUGUGGCUGGACACACAUACUGACAUGUGCAUAAGAACCGGGAGUGUAUAGACUGAUAUUUAUGGAAAUAUUACAUCUCGUCUGGCUUUUGUAGGAUGGACUGUCGUUAAAAACCUUUCAUUCAACAUCAGCUCCCUCUAUUUAGCCAAGAGCACAAUGGGUCACGUCAAGCUUGAUAUGGAUUGUUUUGUAGCAUGGUGAAAGACCAAAAUGCCUUUAUUAAGCCUGACCAAUAUAAUGUUUAAAAGAAACAAAGGCAAAAAGAGCCUCAUACUACUAACGAUUAAUUUAACAGCUGCGAUUGUCUACACUAGCAGGCACAUCGGCACAUCUGACGAAUGUAGUGAAAAACAGACCCUCUGAUUAAGCUCUACGUAAUGCUUUGAUCCCAGUCCUUGCAUUCAAGUGCCCAGACUUCAAAUAGAAUGAGUGUUUCUUGUGCAUGGUAUUGACAUACAUUAAAGCUGUGAUUUUAUGUCCUCAUUAUCACACACAUGCACAAACCCUCGACAGAUCCAUUAGACCUGCCAUCGCCGCAUCACAUCUGAACCUAUAAACCCACCUGAUGAUAAACAAACCUAAAUGGCAUGUCAUAAACGUGAGAGUGUGAACAUGAACAAACAAUAUUGACUUUUUUAUUUUUAUUUUUAUCUAUCAUCAGUCAUUCAUUGCAUGUGCAGUGAAUAACCAAAACCAAAUGUUAAAUAUUUGACAAAUUAUGCGUGCCGAAGUGUGCUAUAAGUAGAAAUGUCCUUGAGGAAAUUCCAGAACAAAAACAACUGGUUGAAAUAUCUAAAAAGCAUAUUACAUGAGUCGAUUUCUGUGUUCUCGCUGGUUAAAAGCACUGUAAUUUAAGAUUUUGAAAGGUGGUUGGUUCUCAAGGCAGCAGCUCAAAAGAUGAUUUAAUGCCGUUUGAGAGGAAAUUCUAAAAUUUUGUAUUUUGCUCUGUCCUGAAAACCACAAAUUGAGCACUGGAAACUAAUAACACCAUGUUACCAGCAUAUUAUUGCCACCAAUGUCCUCAUUUCUAACUGCACUUUAACACAAUUAUUCCUGAAUGUAGAAUGGAACAGAAAAGAACACCAUGUGAAUGUACUGAUCUUGGUAUUUCAAGCUAUUCAAAAGUAAUAUAAAGUGAAAUAUGAAGGAUAGUUUCUAAGGGUAGAUGCCAUAUUUAAUUUUUUUUACAAAUGAAAAUGUGGCUUUGAGGGAUAGAAGUAGUCUACAAUGCCUUCAAUAGGUUAGAUCCUAAAGGAAUAUUUCACCCAAAACAUUUUUCACCCUCAGGCCAUCCAAGAUGUAGAAGAGUUUGUUUCUUCAUCAGAUUUGGAGAAAUGUAGCAUUGCAUGAGUUGCUCACCGAUGUAUCCACUGCAGUGAAUGGGUGCCGUCAGAAUGAGAGUCCAAACAGCUGAUAAAAACAUCACAAUAAUCCCCACCACUCCAGUCCAUCAGUUAAUAUCUAGUGAAGUGAAAUGCUACUUGUUUGUAAUAAAUUCAUCAUUAUAGAAUUUUAGCCA